rnacentral:rRNA from 1 species
AUCGAUCGUCGAACCUAGGUAUAGGGGCGAAAGACUAAUCGAACCAUCUAGUAGCUGGUUCCCUCCGAAGUUUCCCCCAGGAUAGCUGGCGCUCGGAGGAUAAGACGCAGUCAGGUCUGUUAAAGCGAAUGAUUAGAGGCCUCGGGGCCGAAACGACCUCGACCUAUUCUCAAACUUUAAAUGGGCAGGACGUCCGUCGUUCCUGAACGAUAUCGGUGCGUGAUGGAUGCGAGUGUCAAGUGGGCCACUUUUGGUAAGCAGAACUGGCGCUGUGGGAUGAACCAAAAGCCGGGUUAAGGCGCCCGAUGCCGGACGCUCAUGAGACCCCAUGAAAGGUGUUGGUUGCUAAAGACAGCCGGACGAUGGCCAUGGAAGUCGGAACUCGCUAAGGAGUGUGUAACAACUCACCGGCCGAAGCAACUAGCCCUGAAAAUGGAUGGCGCUGAAGCGUCGGGCCUAUACCCGGCCCGCUCCGCAGAUCGACAGCACGUGCGAUUUACGCGGAGCGGAGUAGGAGGGUCGCCAUGGCGAGCGUCGAAGGUGCCGGGCGUGAGCCCGCCUGGAGCCGCCGUGGGCGCAGAUCUUGGUGGUAGUAGCAAAUACUCGAGUGAGACCCUCGAGGACUGAGGUGGAGCAGGGUUCCAUGUGAACAGCAGUUGAACAUGGGUCAGUCGGUCCUAGGGGAUGGGCGAAAGCCCUUCCGAAGCGGGGCAUUCAGCAGCCGGUGCCCCGCUGCGACCGAAAGGGAAAGGGGUUAAUAUUCCCCUACCGGGACACGGAGAGUGGGGCCUCGGCCCCCGGUGCGGUAACGCAACCGAACUCGCUGACGUCGGCGGGAACUCCGGGGAGAGUUGUCUUUUCUUUGUAAGGAUCCGCGCGCAUGGAAGCGGCCCGUCCGGAGAUAUGCGCUAAGGAUCCGUAAAGCACCGCGGCUCUUGCGGUGUCCGGAGCGUUCCCGCCGGCCCUUGAAAAGGCGAGGGAGAGGUGUGAUUUUCGUGCCCGGCCGUACCCAUAUCCGCAGCAGGU